AGGCAAUAGGAUUAAAGAGCAGGAAUGCAAAGAGAAUGGUACUUGCAUUGAUGUCGGGCAACCUGGUUACCAUCUCAUAAGGCUGUGAUCCCUUGUCCGAGAUAGGCACAGCACUCAACUGCCUGAGGGAGAAACUGAGAGAAGGAGAGAGCCCUGAAGACUGAGAAAGAAUGGUGGUCUUCAGUUUGUUCUUCACGUAGCAGAGACCCAUGCCUCUUGAAGCAUUGUGGGGAGAACUUGUAGAGGAAGGACUGGAUGGUGUACAUAGAGAGGCUGUACAUGAGACUCUGGGGCUGUCAGUCCUGGCAGAGAGUUCUGUGCCAACCUUGGCAGAAAUCAGCAGAGCCGUCUGAGCUUACGGGAGCAUGAGAGCUUGGACAAUGUGCACAUGGGUGAAGUCUGCUAUGGGGUGAAGACAAGAAGGAUUGGUCUAAACAACAUUAAUCAAUCUAGGUAAGUUCCCAGGGGGUUUUGCUCAACACUGGGAGGCCCAGGAUGAUGAGGACCUACACUCACAUGUAUUUUGAUUUUGGAACAAAAUGAAGUAUUGUGAUAUUUCUCACA